rnacentral:tRNA from 1 species
GGAGAGAUGGCUUAGAGGCUAAGAGCACUGGCUGCUCUUCCAGAGGACAGAGAACCUGGGUUCAAUUCCCAGUACCACUC